rnacentral:rRNA from 1 species
UACGUAGGGUGCAAGCGUUGUCCGGAAUUAUUGGGCGUAGAGGGCUCGUAGGCGGUCCAUCGCGUCGGGAGUGAAAAGCUGGGGCUUAACCCCAGUCCUGCUUCCGAUACGGGUGGACUAGAGGUAGGUAGGGGAGAUCGGAAUUCCUGGUGUAGCGGUGAAAUGCGCAGAUAUCAGGAGGAACACCGGUGGCGAAGGCGGAUCUCUGGGCCUUACCUGACGCUGAGGAGCGAAAGCGUGGGGAGCGAACAGG